AAGCAGUGUGUAAGACUGCCCUGAUAGCAGACUACUCCGAUCCGGAUCCGUUUUACCUCCGGCAGAUCCGCGCUACAGUCAGGUCUGUUUAGUGGAUCUGGUACGGCUUCACUCCGGGUUCGGGUUAUGAUUGUGACUCACGUUCAGAUCCGUUUUACUGACGGUAAAUCCGCAUAACAGUCCGUCUCAUUUCACGCCUUCCAUAUGACUUCGGCACGGAGUCAGAUACCAGAUGUGAGUUCAGUGUCAGUUCAGUGUCGUUUUGCGGAUCCGGGCCGCAUCGGCGGAGCGGCACAGGAGCGGGAGAAAUUCAAACUCAGCACGAGGACCAACUGACAUCUGCUGAAUCUGCGCUUCAGGUGUAAUCAUUUACCCAUCAAAUCACCUAACAAGGAUCAGCCUGGAUCCUAACAGUACUUGAUGCACUGAGCAGUGACAUUAUACAUAGAGUAGUUAAGCAGGAUUUGGUAUCCGCAAAAUGGUUCGAGGUCCUCAGCCCUCGCCUCCCCCAGCACAGAGGAAAACUACCAAGGGCGGUACUCUCAUUAUAGGAGAUUCAAUUGUUAGACAUUUAAAAGUAUCUAAGAGUAAUGGCACAAUUUCAUGUCUUCCAGAUGCUUGCAUGCUGGUAGUCGGCAAGCGGCUCCCUGGGGCGCAUUGCCAAAGCAGGAACCCCGGCACCAUCGCCCUCCACGUGGGGAUGAGCUUUUGGGAGCGACCGGCCCCGUUCCACAGAGACAGGCUUCUCUCUGUGAACAUCGAGGCGGUGCUACGCUGAGACUGACUGUCUCUACCCAGUCACACCAGCCAAGUAGGCUGCACUGUAGUGGUGUUAAGUGUCCAAGAAUGCUCUCAUCAGUGGAGGCACAGCUGGCUGCAAAAAACGUCUGUGUCUGCAUGUUUAUAUUAUGUGAAUUAAAAAUGGUUUUAUUAUUAAAAUAAUUGUAUUAAU